rnacentral:rRNA from 1 species
AGCGAACGCUGGCGGCAGGCUUAACACAUGCAAGUCGAACGGGCAUCUUCGGAUGUCAGUGGCAGACGGGUGAGUAACACGUGGGAACGUACCCUUCGGUUCUGAAUAACUCAGGGAAACUUGAGCUAAUACCGGAUACGCCCUUUUGGGGAAAGGUUUACUGCCGAAGGAUCGGCCCGCGUCUGAUUAGCUUGUUGGUGGGGUAACGGCCUACCAAGGCGACGAUCAGUAGCUGGUCUGAGAGGAUGAUCAGCCACACUGGGACUGAGACACGGCCCAGACUCCUACGGGAGGCAGCAGUGGGGAAUAUUGGACAAUGGGCGCAAGCCUGAUCCAGCCAUGCCGCGUGAGUGAUGAAGGCCUUAGGGUUGUAAAGCUCUUUUGUCCGGGACGAUAAUGACGGUACCGGAAGAAUAAGCCCCGGCUAACUUCGUG